UUUUUUUUUUUUUUUUUUUUUUUUUUAAAAGGAAAGAAUAGUCCAUUAUUACAAACAUUUUUUUAAUCCAACCCCAAAUUGGAAUGUACAAAAAAGUCCACGAAGAGCCACGAACUGAA
rnacentral:ribozyme from 12 species